rnacentral:piRNA from 1 species
UGGAAUGCACGUUUUCCAGGACUUCCACAU